CGGGGAGUGGCGCAGCUUGGUGUAGCGCGCAGCGUUCGGGACGCUGAGGCCGGGGGUUCAAAUCCCCCCUCCCCGACCA
rnacentral:tRNA from 2 species